GGGUUGUGAGGUUAAGCGACUAAGCGUACACGGUGGAUGCCCUGGCAGUCAGAGGCGAUGAAGGACGUGCUAAUCUGCGAUAAGCGUCGGUAAGGUGAUAUGAACCGUUAUAACCGGCGAUUUCCGAAUGGGGAAACCCAGUGUGUUUCGACACACUAUCAUUAACUGAAUCCAUAGGUUAAUGAGGCGAACCGGGGGAACUGAAACAUCUAAGUACCCCGAGGAAAAGAAAUCAACCGAGAUUCCCCCAGUAGCGGCGAGCGAACGGGGAGCAGCCCAGAGCCUGAAUCAGUGUGUGUGUUAGUGGAAGCGUCUGGAAAGGCGCGCGAUACAGGGUGACAGCCCCGUACACAAAAAUGCACAUAUUGUGAGCUCGAUGAGUAGGGCGGGACACGUGGUAUCCUGUCUGAAUAUGGGGGGACCAUCCUCCAAGGCUAAAUACUCCUGACUGACCGAUAGUGAACCAGUACCGUGAGGGAAAGGCGAAAAGAACCCCGGCGAGGGGAGUGAAAAAGAACCUGAAACCGUGUACGUACAAGCAGUGGGAGCACGCUUAGGCGUGUGACUGCGUACCUUUUGUAUAAUGGGUCAGCGACUUAUAUUCUGUAGCAAGGUUAACCGAAUAGGGGAGCCGAAGGGAAACCGAGUCUUAACUGGGCGUUAAGUUGCAGGGUAUAGACCCGAAACCCGGUGAUCUAGCCAUGGGCAGGUUGAAGGUUGGGUAACACUAACUGGAGGACCGAACCGACUAAUGUUGAAAAAUUAGCGGAUGACUUGUGGCUGGGGGUGAAAGGCCAAUCAAACCGGGAGAUAGCUGGUUCUCCCCGAAAGCUAUUUAGGUAGCGCCUCGUGAAUUCAUCUCCGGGGGUAGAGCACUGUUUCGGCAAGGGGGUCAUCCCGACUUACCAACCCGAUGCAAACUGCGAAUACCGGAGAAUGUUAUCACGGGAGACACACGGCGGGUGCUAACGUCCGUCGUGAAGAGGGAAACAACCCAGACCGCCAGCUAAGGUCCCAAAGUCAUGGUUAAGUGGGAAACGAUGUGGGAAGGCCCAGACAGCCAGGAUGUUGGCUUAGAAGCAGCCAUCAUUUAAAGAAAGCGUAAUAGCUCACUGGUCGAGUCGGCCUGCGCGGAAGAUGUAACGGGGCUAAACCAUGCACCGAAGCUGCGGCAGCGACGCUUAUGCGUUGUUGGGUAGGGGAGCGUUCUGUAAGCCUGUGAAGGUGUGCUGUGAGGCAUGCUGGAGGUAUCAGAAGUGCGAAUGCUGACAUAAGUAACGAUAAAGCGGGUGAAAAGCCCGCUCGCCGGAAGAUCAAGGGUUCCUGUCCAACGUUAAUCGGGGCAGGGUGAGUCGACCCCUAAGGCGAGGCCGAAAGGCGUAGUCGAUGGGAAACAGGUUAAUAUUCCUGUACUUGGUGUUACUGCGAAGGGGGGACGGAGAAGGCUAUGUUGGCCGGGCGACGGUUGUCCCGGUUUAAGCGUGUAGGCUGGUUUUCCAGGCAAAUCCGGAAAAUCAAGGCUGAGGCGUGAUGACGAGGCACUACGGUGCUGAAGCAACAAAUGCCCUGCUUCCAGGAAAAGCCUCUAAGCAUCAGGUAACAUCAAAUCGUACCCCAAACCGACACAGGUGGUCAGGUAGAGAAUACCAAGGCGCUUGAGAGAACUCGGGUGAAGGAACUAGGCAAAAUGGUGCCGUAACUUCGGGAGAAGGCACGCUGAUAUGUAGGUGAAGCGACUUGCUCGUGGAGCUGAAAUCAGUCGAAGAUACCAGCUGGCUGCAACUGUUUAUUAAAAACACAGCACUGUGCAAACACGAAAGUGGACGUAUACGGUGUGACGCCUGCCCGGUGCCGGAAGGUUAAUUGAUGGGGUCAGCGCAAGCGAAGCUCUUGAUCGAAGCCCCGGUAAACGGCGGCCGUAACUAUAACGGUCCUAAGGUAGCGAAAUUCCUUGUCGGGUAAGUUCCGACCUGCACGAAUGGCGUAAUGAUGGCCAGGCUGUCUCCACCCGAGACUCAGUGAAAUUGAACUCGCUGUGAAGAUGCAGUGUACCCGCGGCAAGACGGAAAGACCCCGUGAACCUUUACUAUAGCUUGACACUGAACAUUGAGCCUUGAUGUGUAGGAUAGGUGGGAGGCUUUGAAGUGUGGACGCCAGUCUGCAUGGAGCCGACCUUGAAAUACCACCCUUUAAUGUUUGAUGUUCUAACGUUGACCCGUAAUCCGGGUUGCGGACAGUGUCUGGUGGGUAGUUUGACUGGGGCGGUCUCCUCCUAAAGAGUAACGGAGGAGCACGAAGGUUGGCUAAUCCUGGUCGGACAUCAGGAGGUUAGUGCAAUGGCAUAAGCCAGCUUGACUGCGAGCGUGACGGCGCGAGCAGGUGCGAAAGCAGGUCAUAGUGAUCCGGUGGUUCUGAAUGGAAGGGCCAUCGCUCAACGGAUAAAAGGUACUCCGGGGAUAACAGGCUGAUACCGCCCAAGAGUUCAUAUCGACGGCGGUGUUUGGCACCUCGAUGUCGGCUCAUCACAUCCUGGGGCUGAAGUAGGUCCCAAGGGUAUGGCUGUUCGCCAUUUAAAGUGGUACGCGAGCUGGGUUUAGAACGUCGUGAGACAGUUCGGUCCCUAUCUGCCGUGGGCGCUGGAGAACUGAGGGGGGCUGCUCCUAGUACGAGAGGACCGGAGUGGACGCAUCACUGGUGUUCGGGUUGUCAUGCCAAUGGCACUGCCCGGUAGCUAAAUGCGGAAGAGAUAAGUGCUGAAAGCAUCUAAGCACGAAACUUGCCCCGAGAUGAGUUCUCCCUGACUCCUUGAGAGUCCUGAAGGAACGUUGAAGACGACGACGUUGAUAGGCCGGGUGUGUAAGCGCAGCGAUGCGUUGAGCUAACCGGUACUAAUGAACCGUGAGGCUUAACCUUACAACGCCGAAGCUGUU
rnacentral:rRNA from 1 species